rfam:Schistosoma mattheei strain Denwood, Zambia genome assembly, scaffold: SMTD_scaffold0011921
ACCCAGCUGACGAGUCUCGAGUUGGACGAAACGCGCGUCCUGGAU